CCAGAAUUUCAUCCUUUUCAUAAAGGUUUUUGUUUAAUUUGGCGGCAAAGUCAUCGAAGAUGGUGGAGUUGUUGGUGGAAAUAUCGGUGGAAGGCGAGUUGAGAUCAGGGAGGGAAGAAGGAGAAAGAUGCAAUGGCGGAGGAAGCUUCAAUGGUGUGUCAGUGAAAUGUUCAUCUCAGGCGCUUAGCACAUUAAUCCAACAAUGCGUUAAACAUGAACAAUACAAAUCUGAUGUGUUAUGUGUAAUCGUGUAUGGUGUAUAAUUUCAUUUAUUUUUAUUUUUAUUAUUAUUAUUUCUUUUUAUUUACGAAUUUGCCAUUAGAUUAAAAAAAAAAAAACAUUAAUCAACUCUGAAAAUCACAGUAUACAAACUUAAUACUCCAUAUAGAAUUUGCGGACUUGCGGGGCACUCUUAUUUCCAAAAUUGCUCACCUACGCAUCCGCAGAUUCCGCACUGGCGCUCUGCUCUGCUCUCAGUCAAAUCCACCCAUUAUCGCCGGCCAUUCUCCGACGAAAUUCCCACUUUCUCUCUCCUCCCUCCACCGAUGCCGGCGGCAUACUCAACGACGACAACCUCAAUUCAUUCAAACUGGAGGUCUUGGAAAUCACUCUCACCACCACCCAAAAUUGAUUUCCCAAUUCGCGAAACCCCAAUAAAGUAAAAACAAAAACAAAAGUAGGGGAAAAAAAAAAUCAAUGGAUUUCCUAGAAUUAGAAGGAAUUGAAGGUUUACGAUGGUCGUGGAAUUCAUGGCCGACUUCGAAAUCCGAGGCAACUUCUCUGGUAAUCCCACUUUCAAUAAUGUGUACACCAUUAGCUUUAAUGGAGUCUUCUGAGCUUCCUGUAUUGGAAUAUGAACCCUUGAUUUGUAUCAAAUGUGGGGCAAUUUUGAACCCUUAUGCUCGGGUUGAUUAUCAAUCAAAGAUUUGGCAUUGCCCUUUUUGUCAUCAUAAAAAUGGGUUUCCUAAAUCGUAUGCUGGGAUUGGUGAAAACAAUCUUCCUGCUGAACUUUUUCCUACUUAUAGUGCGGUUGAAUAUCAGUAUCAGUUUAGUAAUUUAGGGGGUGGAAAUGGGUUGUCUUCUUCCUCUUCAUCUAGCUCGAUUCCGUCGAUGUUGGCCGGGGCGGUUGAUUCGAAACCCGGGCCGGCUUUUGUGUUUGUGGUGGAUCUUUGUACGCCGGAGGAUGAGCUUAGGGCGCUUAAGAAGGAGUUGUUGUAUGUGAUCUCUUUAUUGCCGGAGAAUACAUUGGUGGGAUUGGUUACUUUUGAUUCAAUGGUUAGAGUUCAUGAUUUGGGGUUUGCUGAUUGUAAUAGGGUUGUGCUCUUACAAGGUAGCAGGGAUCUCACCUCAACUCAGAUUCAACAACUUCUUCAAUUUCCAACCAUGAAACAACCUUACCUUGGGAAGACCACAGUUGUCCAAAAGCAAGGCUUUCUGUUACCAGUGUCAGAAUGUGAAUUUAUUGUCACAACAGCAAUUGAAGAGAUAUGCUCUUCAGGAAUUGUUGCUCGUGGUCAUCGCUCUCUGAGGGCCACUGGAACUGCAAUAUCUGUGGCAGUUGGACUUAUAGAAGGAUGUACAGUGAGAACAGGUUCCAGGGUUAUGGUCUUUACAUCUGGGCCUGCAACUGUUGGCCCUGGCAUUGUGGUGGAGUCUGAUUGUAGCUAUUCAAUAAGAAAUCACCGAGAGCUGAUAAAUGGUCAUGCGCCCUUUUUCGAAAUGUCUUGCAGUUUUUAUAAGAAAAUCACUCAGCGAUUAUGUGAUGCUUCCGUAGUUCUUGAUUUGUUUGCUUGUUCUUUGGAUCAAGUGGGAGCAGCAGAGUUAAAAGCCCCAGUUGAAAGGUCAGGUGGAUUUAUGAUGCUUGGAGAAGUAUUUGACUCAGAUCAUUUUAAAAAAUGUUUACAUCACCUAUUUAAAUGUGACAACAAUGGGAACCUGAAGAUGUGUUUUGAUGCAUCUAUUGAAGUGGUGACAACUAAUGAUGUAAAGAUUUGUGGUGCCCUAGGUCCAUGUGUGUCUCUCCGGAAGAGGAAUAGUCUAGUGAGUGACAAUGAGAUUGGGGAAGCUUCUACUAAUGCAUGGAAGUUGUGCUCUCUGACAAACAAGACAUGCAUUGCGUUUUUCUUUGAAGUUAAUGACAGUCAGAAAGUUGAACCUGGCUCUGCAUUUUUUAUUCAGUUUAUUACCCGUUACCGAUAUGGAGCAACUGGGAUCCGGAGAAGGGUGACAACCGUAGCAAGAAGGUGGGUGGGGAAGAAUUCACCGGAGAUUUCUGCUGGAUUCGAUCAAGAAGCUGCAGCCGCUGUCAUGGGCAGGCUUGCAAUUGACAGAGCAGAGAGGCAUUUUGUUAGAGAUGUCAUCAGGUGGCUGGAUGAUAAUUUAAUAAGAUUUGCUUCCCAAUUUGGAGACUACAUUCAAGAAGACCCGUCUUCAUUUCGCCUUUCAUCGAACUUCUCUCUGUAUCCUCAAUUUAUGUAUUAUCUAAGAAGAUCCCAGUUUAUCAAUGUAUUUAACAGCUCUCCAGAUGAGACAGCUUUCUUUACAUUGAUGUUGAAUCGUGAAGGAGUGGUUGGUUCUAUGAUCAUGAUUCAACCAACGCUUUUCCAAUAUUCAUUUGAGGGGCCACCUAUUCCGGUCCUCUUAGAUAUUUGCUCAGUGUCUCCUGAUGUGAUUUUGCUUUUUGAUUCAUACUUCUAUGUUGUCAUUCACUAUGGCUCGAAGGUUGCACAGUGGCGAAAGCUUGGUUAUCACAAGGACCCUAAUCAUGAGACUUUCAGAAAGUUGUUGGAAGCACCUGAACUGGAUGUAGAUCAACUUAUAGCCGAACGGAUGCCAGUUCCUAAAGUCAUCAGAUGUGACCAGCACAGUAGUCAGGCUAGGUUUCUUCUCGCCAAGUUGAAUCCUUCUGUUACCCAUAAUUCAAUGUAUGCUGACGGCUCAGAAAUCAUAUUCACAGAUGAUGUGAGUUUGCAAGUUUUCAUGGAUCACUUACAAGAAUUGGCAGUGCAAGGAUGAUGACAACUUCAUAAUCAUUCCAGAUACAGGAACUACAUUGGCCCAAAAUAGGAAAACUGCUUAGGACUGGCAUUUUUUCCCCUUUUCUGGGGGCACACCACAAGGCUGACAACUAUUUGGUUAUGAGGGUAUUUCGUUUUUCCCCAUUUGCCAUUUUUCACUUUUUGUUAUCCAGAGUUCCGGGUGCAGCUAUUGUCUUUCCAUGAAUUGUGGAUGAACCUGAUGUGGCUGCCUUGAGAUUGUAUAACUUUAUUGGGUUAAGGGGACAAGGAAAGUAAUUGCAUUUGGUGCAUCACUGUAUCAAGUGGCUCAAAAAAAGACUAUGCGCCUGCUCAUGUCAAAAUGCAAUUUAAGCUGUAUAUUCGUACAAAUUAAUGUACUAGUUCCCGUCUUGGAUCAUCUGGUGAUACUCUAGAGUUUAUAGAAGCUGUUCAUUAUUACUCUAGAGUUUAUACUAAAUCUUUCUCCUAAAAAGUGUGCUUUUUGCCUUUCUGGUUCCCCCUUCUGAUUUACUUAAUUUGUUCUUCAGUUUGUGGAGAAAACAUCUGCUGCUAUCAAAUCUUCAGGCUAUGUUUUUUUU